UAACGCGUGAGGAACCUGCCUCAAAGAGGGGGACAACAGUUGGAAACGACUGCUAAUACCGCAUAAGCCCACAGCUCGGCAUCGAGCAGAGGGGAAAGGAGCAAUCCGCUUUGAGAUGGCCUCGCGUCCGAUUAGCUAGUUGGUGAGGUAACGGCCCACCAAGGCGACGAUCGGUAGCCGGACUGAGAGGUUGAACGGCCACAUUGGGACUGAGACACGGCCCAG
rnacentral:rRNA from 1 species